rnacentral:rRNA from 1 species
AUUGAACGCUGGCGGCAGGCCUAACACAUGCAAGUCGAACGAGUGGCGGACGGGUGAGUAAUGUCUGGGAAACUGCCUGAUGGAGGGGGAUCACUAUGGGAAACGGUAGCUAAUACCGCAUACCCUCAGAUGUGCCCAGAUGGGAUUAGCUGUGUGGUGGGGUAACGGCUCACCAAGGCGACGAUCCCUAUCUGGUCGGAGAGGAUGACCAGCCACACUGGAACGGAGACACGGUCCCGACUCCUACGGGAGGCAGCAGUGGGGAAUAUUGCACAAGGGGCGCAAGCCUGAUGCAGCCAUGCCGCGUGUAUGAAGAAGGCCUUCGGGUUGUAAAGUACUUUCAGCGGGGAGGCGUUACCCGCAGAAGAAGCACCGGCUAACUCCGUGCCAGCAGCCGCGGUAAUAC